GUUACUUAAUAGUGUUAAUUAGUUAGUUGUGAAAAUGAAAGUUAGUUAGGAAAUGUUUAAGUGUUAGUGAAAACUCUGCAUUGCUCUUAAGUUCUGUUAGUUGAAGAAGUCAGUUAGAAUGUUAAUUUUAUUAUGGUUUGUUAUUGAAUUGGUGAAGAAUUAUGAGUUGUUACGAAUGCAUGUGUGAUGCUUCUACUUGUUA
rnacentral:lncRNA from 1 species